CCUAACACAUGACAAGUACGAACGAAUCUAAUUAAGAGAAUCUCACACUAGUGAGAGGUUCUCACGAGUAGUAUUUAGUGGCGGACGGGUGAGUAACACGUUGGAACCUGCCCCGAAGUGGGGAAUAACUGCUCGAAAGAGUAGCUAAUACCCCAUAGUAUCCGGUUUAUCCGGAUUAAAGAUUUAUCGCUUCGGGAGGGGCCUGCGUCUGAUUAGCUAGUUGGUGAGGUAAAAGCUCACCAAGGCGACGAUCAGUAGCUGGUUCGAGAGGAUGACCAGCCACACUGGGACUGAGAUACGGCCCAGACUCCUACGGGAGGCAGCAGUGAGGAAUCUUCCACAAUGGGCGCAAGCCUGAUGGAGCAAUACCGCGUGCAGGAAGACGCUUUUCGGAGUGUAAACUGCUUUUGUCGUCGAAGAUUAUGACUGUAGACGAAGAAUAAGGACCGGCUAACUACGUG
rnacentral:rRNA from 1 species